rnacentral:lncRNA from 1 species
CCCCUUCAACAUAACUACGAUUAUACAGAUCAAAAUUUUCUGACAAGUACAGAAGCUACACAGUGAAAUUUUGCACAUUAAACUGGAAUACCCUUGAAACUUCAAAUGGAAUACCACAUUGGCACCGGAAAACUUUUGCAAGCGACAAAUUCUUCAGAUAGAUUAGAAUACACCGAGAAGCGUGGCGGCAGCAAAUAGCAAAAACAAUACUCCUCCCAGCAGGCCAACCUGUUGAGGCACUUUCAUGUAAGUCCUAUGAACUCAAGCCAAGCACCCAAAAAGAUACACAAUAAUGCUCCAAAUAUUUAUGGCUAAAUCGAAACAAGAAGCAACAAGAAUUAGCAAUAUGCCCUCUGCAGCUGCAUUAAAAUUUUGUGCUCGCAACUUACUAAGCAUCUAGAACUAUGCCAAGAUGAAGCAUGUAAAAUCAACCAUACGUAUUUUAGUUGUCUUACCAGCUUCUCAGAUAGGUAGUUAGCAAGGAAUGCUCCCCCAACAAUCGCAAGUAAAGUUGC